rnacentral:rRNA from 1 species
UACGUAGGGUGCGAGCGUUAAUCGGAAUUACUGGGCGUAAAGCGUGCGCAGGCGGUCUGUUAAGACCCGAUGUGAAAUCCCCCGGGCUUAACCUGGGAACUGCAUUGGUGACUGGCAGGCUUUGAGUGUGGCAGAGGGAGGUAGAAUUCCGCGUGUAGCAGUGAAAUGCGUAGAGAUGUGGAGGAAUACCGAUGGCGAAGGCAGCCUCCUGGGCCAACACUGACGCUCAUGCACGAAAGCGUGGGGAGCAAACAGG